CCUACGGGGAGCUGCAGUGGGGAAUAUUGGACAAUGGGCGAAAGCCUGAUCCAGCCAUGCCGCGUGUGUGAAGAAGGCCUUCGGGUUGUAAAGCACUUUCAGUGGGGAAGAAAGCCUUGGGGCUAAUACCCUCGAGGAAGGACAUCACCCACAGAAGAAGCACCGGCUAACUCCGUGCCAGCAGCCGUGGUAAUACGGAGGGUGCGAGCGUUAAUCGGAAUUACUGGGCGUAAAGCGCGCGUAGGCGGUCUGAUAAGCCGGUUGUGAAAGCCCCGGGCUCAACCUGGGAACGGCAUCCGGAACUGUCAGGCUAGAGUGCAGGAGAGGAAGGUAGAAUUCCCGGUGUAGCGGUGAAAUGCGUAGAGAUCGGGAGGAAUACCAGGGGCGAAGGCGGCCUUCUGGACUGACACUGACGCUGAGGUGCGAAAGCGUGGGUAGCAAACAGGAUUAGAUACCCCAGUAGUC
rnacentral:rRNA from 1 species